CGUUGCUCUACGAGCCAUUGUUUUCCUUUUGCAACCAGGAAGGGCAUUCAGCAAAAUAUCUUUGCCAAAUUAAACUCAUGGAUCAUCAGUAAGAUUUCCAUAAGGAACUGGAUGAGGUGCUGCAGUUGGAUCUCUGCGAGGUCUCCCAGUGGUCACACUGCAGACUGGCUGACUCGGCUUGUUUCUUUUCACUGUUUACUCUGGCAAGUCAAGUCAAGGUCCUGCUGAGAGCUAUUCUUGAGGUGGGAUCCAGGCUUUCCAGGAAAUCCACUUCAUAUUCCUCAAUGCAGAAACUGCACAAGUUAAAACUGAAGCCACAAUGAAAGUAAGCAAACUUAAUAUAAAUGCCAAUGGGCAAUUAUUAUCCUUCUAGUGCCUGUGCAAGUCCUAACCUUUAACGCCACCACUACGCACCAACUCUCUCUUCCUCUCUCUGCAGCAAUUUCCUCCGCCACUAGAGCCUGAGAGUAGAGUCACACCAGCACGCUCCACUGGGUCCUGUGAAAGGAUGCCCAGUUAGUGUGAAAGGCUGCCUGAGGGUCCCAGUGCACAUGUGUGUGGGUAUGUGAGUGUGUGGGCAGGUAAGUGGACAGCCACU
rnacentral:lncRNA from 1 species